UUUGUACAGGUCACCUUGCAGGUGGUCCUCAUUAUCUUGUAGGAUUUUGUUCCUAACCAGAUGUUGUGUGUUCCAGCUGGUGUAGGGAUCAGCUGCUGAACUUGCUCAUGUGCUGUACCUCUGGAUGGAUGUCAACAGAGCCCUGUGACAGCACACACACUGCCAUGCCCUGCAGCAGGGGAUCAGUGCUAGGUGCUUCUCAGGCACGACUCACUUCCCCCAAUCUCCUGGCUUGAACCUUAGGGGAGUGGCUGAAGGACAGGUGAAGCAGUCCUUGCCUGGAUGCAUUUGUUUCCUCCCCAGCAUCGAUGCUGGGCAGGUACCUUACUGCUGCUCCCUGAAACGCCACAUCUUGCAGAAGAGGCAGCUAAAGCUUCUUGACCUGACGGGCUCCAUCUGGCUCCAAAUUUUAGUUUGACUCCAAGGUUAUAGCAACUCCAGAGUCACUUCUAGCUAACACCAGAGGAGCUGAUUGGGUCGUAAGCCUGGAGCUGCUUGCUCAGAGCUGUGCCACCUUUGGAAGUG